GGGCCACCGAGGUCGAAACGCUGUUGAAGUGCGAAGGGAGCCUGAGACUCCGACACAGACGCCGCAGGAGCGGGGCCCGCCAGAUCCUGAGCGGCUUCCGGCCCAAGGGGAGACGUACUUGAGUAAUCGCGAGGAGCAAACUUGGAGCUCUCCACCUCGGGCCUCGGAGAGGCUCUACAGACGGACAGCAGGACUCCCACGGAGACCUCCCCCAGCGAGCCUGUCUGCAGCCCUGGGCCAUUACUGCCUUCAUCUCUCAGAAUCCUGAGCACACAGAAUGGCAAAUGUCAAUAAGUAGCUUCCUUCGUUGCCAGAGCUCUCCUGGUUCCCCAUGCUCCAGCCCCCUGGCCAGCUUCAGGGAAGACUGGCUGAGGCAUUUGCUCCAGAUAUCCUGCUUCUAAUGCUACAGGCAGAGCUCCACAGAGCAGCUGCAGUUGCAGGCCCCUGCCUCUGCCUGGCCCUGCUUCUCACCGACUGCUGCUGAGACUCAGGUUGGGGAACUGGGACACAGGACCCCAGCCCCAGUUCUGCGAAGUCGGUGCUCUUCGAGCCCCGGAAAAACGAGAGCUAGCAGAAGAUGAUGGGAAUAUAAUGAAGUCAAUAGAGGAGCUGGCGAAGACGGCGCUGAGCUAACUGGAGGUGGGUGGCUGCACAGACCGAUUGCCCGCGGCCUUCCCAAGGUUCCGGGAGCGCAGAGGUCUACGCCUCGGAGUGGCCAGGUCGCAAAGUGCGGACUGCGCUGGGCAAAGAGUGGUCAGCACCCUCUGCCCAGCUGGGAGGCUGGAGACUCCAGAUCUGUGACCUGCAGGGUGAACCUUAGGCGGCGGGGUUCCUUACACUCAAGGAGCGGGACUCCGGAUCGGAGUUGAGGGAUAGGCCAGGCCCUCUGCAAGCACAGCACGAACAGGGCCUCCAGCGUACGUUCCUUCACUGCGGAAGCCCGCUUGCCACCCCCAGUGCCGGCUCGGGUCGGGCACACCCCGCACAUGUUGACCCUCCACUUCUAGGAGGAAAUGUCCAUAUUUCCUUCCAUUAUGCCUGGCCACAGUCCCCUCCCAGCCUUACCUAUCCCGGGGCUACGUGGUGGUGGGGCUCGCUCGGGCACCCUGUGGCCCUAGGACUGCUCAGCGGUUGAGACCAGAGUGAGCUGCGGGGCCUGUCGACUGUUUUUCGUAGGAAGAGGGUUGCAAGCCCAGGAGAAGGUGAAAAUAACGCUGCUCCCAAAACGCCCGACCUGGGGGCUGGUUUCGUAGCGACCGUGGUAAGGCAGGCUCCACACGUGUGGGAGACCUACAGGGGCGUAGCGGACACUUCUAGGUAUGUCGGAGCGCGAACGUCAGGUCUAAUGCCCCUGAUAUCUAAGUGCGCCCAGGGUUCCUGAGUCGGAGGAUCUGUUUCUCUGUCCGUGUGUGUGGUCAGUGUGCCCCUCCGUGCAACAGUGGCUCUGGCAGCCCGAGUACUUUCCUGAGCAGCUGUACCGACCGUGUGUCCCGAGUCCUCCCUUCCCGAAAGCACAAUCUGUGCGGGUGACUGCCUUUAUCCCUGGAUGGCUUGCCUUUAACCCAGGUCCUGAAGCGGCGUCAUCUGGUCAGGGGACUGCAAACCUGCUCCAUGCCCACAGCGAGACCUGGGCAGGGAGGGAGGACGUGUACGGUGCGAGCCUGGAUAGGGUCUGGGACAAUGGCAAAGGUAAGGGAAAGAGCAUACAGGGACCACGCUGCGAAGAGCCAGGGGGGUUGUAGCGACAGCCUCCUUCUAACCAAUUGCACGUUGCCUGCUGGAGUAGCAAGGCCCAGGAGCCCCACGCCCUUCCGGAGCCCAGAGUUGGUGUAGGGCUGGAGGCAGAAGGGUACAGAGCCGUCUGAACUCGGCCCCUUAUGCAACACCAGCGUGCCUGUGUUUAGCCUUCCCGAUUCCUAAGCAGAGAGGUGGAACUCGUAGGCUUCGCCGGCCGGGUGCCCGAGGUCUCGAGUGGAUGCCAAAUCGAGUCAGUCCCACGGAAGCAGAGCGAGAGACCUGCACGAGUCCUGGCCUUGCCUCGCAGACGCUAGUUACGGAUUCCUGGGGGACAGCGCCCUCUAGAGGAGCCGCGCAUCCACGCAGUCAAGAACUGGACGACGACGAGGUCUGGGCCUGGAGUUCCCCUUUCCCACGUCCCACGCCACACCUUUGACAAAAUCAUCCCAAGACCCACAGCCUCUAGACUCCUCUUUGUAAAUGCUUGCUUCCUUUCCCAACUUAUACUUAGGCUUCAAAACCCUCCUUAAAUGCCGCUUCCUCCAGGAGGAAGCCUUCUCCAGAGCCCAGCUCAUCUCCUCUUCCUGUUCUGAGAUCCCAGAACCAAAACCUGAACCCUCGACUUCAGUGCUCGCACCUGGCACUGCGCAGCUGACCUGCUUCCAGCCUGGCCUUUCUCCAAAGAUUGUUAAUCCAUCCCCUCCAUUCCCCCUUUGCAUUGCAUGCUGGGUGUACUGUUUUUCUACCCUUCCCUACCCGCCCGCCCUUACCUCCAGUAAAGUAGGAGUGAAGUCAUUUAUCCCAAAAUUGGACUGUAGGUUUCCAAAGUUUAUUUCCCAUAUGGGGAAAUUGAGAUCCAGAGAGUGGGCUGACUUUCCCAAGGUCAUACAGUACAUCAGUAGCAGAGGUGGAACUAGAUCCCUAGUCACCUUUCUCCCAGACCAAACCCCUCUCUCCGUCACCCGUAGGGGGAGCAGGUGAUGUGGGGGAGGGCUCAUUUUAAGGGGUGAGGACUGGUUGGAGGGGUUUUGACAUAGGAGAGGGGAAAUGCAGGAGGGUACUGGGUAGUGGGUCACUGCUCCAGGAUGGAAUAGUAAGAAAGGAAGGGAGGACAAAGCUUCAUUGAAAGGUCAGACUAUUUCUUCCCUCAACCCCAGCUCCAGAUCAAGCUACUUGAAGGGCUCCAGAUUUCAGGGGUCUUACAUCAACAGCUAGGUCAGCUGGAGGCUGGGAACAGACUCAACUCAGGCAAAUGCCAUCCUCCUCUCUGCCCUGGGAAGGGAAGGAGGGGCUGAGAAACUUCUAUUGCUAAUACACACCCAGAGGGUGCUGCUGAGAUGUUAGAUCAGCAGUAGGAGUCCUGGUGCUUGAAAUUAUAAAAAGGGAGAAACGGGGAGGGCGAUUUGCAUGUGAUUUGAAUAAGACCCCAGCAAUUCCUGCCCUGCAGUUUGAGGCCUUCUCAGAGAUGCUGCUGGUCCUCAUCUGCAUGUCAAGCCUCACCUCUAUCCCCUGAACUCCAUUCAUACCUGAUCUGCUCUUUCUCUCCUCUUCAUCUUUGCACUUGUCCUCAUUCCUGCCUGGCUCACUCCUAAUCCUUUGUCCAUUUCAAAAGUCAAGCUUUAUGAGCUGCUUCCCCUAACAACACCCCACACUGGCCAGGCUGUGAGGGACUCCUGCCCCUGUGCUCCCAAAGACGUAACUCGGUUGUCAUGAUUGGUUUUCCAAUCCGUUGCCUUCUGUUCACUGUAAGCUCCUUGAAAACAGGCAUUAUAUUGUUUGUAUCCUCAUCUUUCUCCACAAAAUGGGGAUAAGAAUUGUACCCACCACACUGAGUUAUUGUGAGGAUUAAAUGAGAUAAUGCAUAUAAAGCACUUAGCCCAGUGCCUGAUACUUUGAAAGAGCUCAAUACCUGGCUGGCGUAGCUCAGUGGAUUGAGCACGGGCUGCGAACCAAAGUGUCACAGGUUUGAUUCCCAGUCAGAGUACAUGCCUGGGUUGCAGGCCAUG